ensembl:misc_RNA Metazoa_SRP Metazoan signal recognition particle RNA
GCCGGGUGUGGUGGUUCACGCCUGUAAUCCCAGCACCUUGGGAGGCCGAGGUGGGCGGAUCACCUGAGGUCAGGAGUUCGAGAAAAGCCUGGCUAACAUGGUGAAACCCCAUCUCUA